GUGACUCGAGCCACGAUCGCGUGGGAUUGCAAAAGGAGUUAACAUUUCAACAUGAAUGGUGCGACCUUUGAAUGGAUUUAAACUGAUUACAAAAUGCCACGCGCGCAUACCAAUGACUAUUUAUUUUUGUAGACUUGUAUUUUGAAGUACAAUUUUUUUUGUAUUAUGCAGUGAAAAUUGCAAUGCAAAAUUCAUUAUAUUUUUACCACAUGUGAUCUCAGCAAAAUCAAAUCAGUAUAUUUAUAUCCAAAUUUCAACAUUAUUCUCUUGAAACUUUGAACGGAAGAGAAUUUGACCAAAGUUUUCAACAUCAUUAUCAUUAAAACUUGAAGGAGUGACAUGAAAGCGGGGCGAAAGAGAGCGUGACUGAUAGCGGAAGUUACAGUAUGAAUCAUUAGCACAGAGUAUGAGUGAAAGUGUGAGGUACUGUAGGCGUGAGAGUUUAUUUAAUGUCGAUUAUAUUUAUUGAACUAUGUCAUAAAAUAUUGAAAAACCAAAGCCAAAAAAAUCAAUAAAACAAAAUCUGAAAUAUU
rnacentral:misc_RNA from 1 species